rnacentral:sRNA from 1 species
GUCUCCGAGCUCUAGGGUCCGGAGCUCUAGGGUCCUUUUAUGUAGCAAAGUCAGGCCUGGGAACAGAACUUCAUGUGCUUGUAAAAAGUCUCAGGUGCGUCCUCGUUGUUUUAGAGACUUGGAGAGGAAUGGGGGCGGGGGGAACAAAAUCCGAGGACAGUCGAGCCAAGAAAAGUCGGGGCUUCUAGGAUGCCAACCACGCCAAACAGAUCAAAACCAGGACUGGAGGACUGAAGAUGAAGCCGGCAAAAAGUCACCAGCCACGGCUCUUGUAAGGUAUGCUUCACCUCUCCUGCUAAGUCUUCAUCCCUGUCUAUGAGGACAAAGAAGUUACGGGUUAAAUUGGCGAUGGGCCAGGCGCUCCUUGAGGAUGCUCUAAAGUUGGUGAUAGAAAAUGGGAGAACUGAAGACAACCACUUUAUAAAACCCUUGCCUGCUUGAAUUUGUGGUGAUGAACCGGCCCCUGGGAUUUGCUGCUCAGAACCUGAGUUCACUGAGACAUCAGGAGCAAGCACUGGAGGCCGGGUGCUGCUGGAUCCUGAUGGGAGCCAUGCAGGACUUGACCAUGGCCUGCACACACUUCUUCCCAGGAGAAGGGGAAUGAGGAAGGACUGGCCCCUGGGAUUUGCUGCUCAGUUCACUGAGACAUCAGGAGCAAGCACUGGAGGCCGGUGCUGCUGGACCCAGAUGGGAGCCAUGCAGGACUUGACCAUGGCCUGCAUACACUUCUUCCCAGGAGAAGGGGAAUGAGGAAGAACUGGACGAUGAAUUUUAACCUCCACACCACAAGCACUGGGGUAGAAGACUGCUGCUGGGUGAAGAAGAGACUAGACUUGAUCAUUGAGCAGCCACUCACUGAUAUCUUCAGUGCUGCAUGAGGAAGGACUGGCCCCUGGGAUUUUCUGCUCAGGACCCGAGUUCACUGAGACAUCAGGAGCAAGCACUGGAGGCCGGUGCUGCUGGACCCAGAUGGGCGCCAUGCAGGACUUGACCAUGGCCUGCACACACUUCUUCCCAGGAGAAGGGGAAUGAGGAAAGUGGGGGGCCUCAAAGCUUCCUUUCCUUUCUGUUUGUCUUGCUAUGUUUUUAUAUUCCUUUUUAUCCAUUUAAUUAUUUAGUACAAAAUCAGGUCCAGUCUCCUUAGAUAUGGCAUUGAUAUAAAGUGUAAAAUGGAAGCUAAAUUCUAGGAGUACAGCAUUGCAUGCUUCUGACAGAGACAAGGAAGGCUAGAAUCACACAGUUAGUGGACACUGCAACUAUAUUGACAUUUUUUUUUUUUUUAGACUGUGAAGGUGGGGACAGAUUGCUGCACUCAGAACACCUUCCCUGCUCUGGGGAAACAAACACUGUCAUCAUGGGGAAAAUGUUUCCUGUAGACCCACACAAGCACACACCCCUCCUCCUACAUCCAGCUUCUCNUCAGCCAUUUUGAAGCAGGGAAGAUCAGGGGGAUUCAUGAAUGGCGAAAUUUGGCCUUUUUUAGUGUAUUUCUCUCCUUCUGUAGGCAGACUGGCAUCACCUGACCCUUCAGAGUAUUAACUCAGACCCUGGUGACUGAGGUCCAGUACCAAGUGCUCAGCUGGGCUGCGGUGCAGGGACAGGAAGCAGAAGGGCAGAUUCAACCCCCCUCAGCUGGCCAUGCUAAUCUACUAGCUGGUGUCCUAGGGCAGCAAGGCGCCUCCCUCUCCAGGAUCUGAUGAGAAAACACUGCAGUUCCAGUUUCUUUCGGGGCUUGAAGAGAAGUCAAGGAAGCCCUGCAAGGCACUCACAGCUGAUCAUGCUUUCUGUAAUCGCCCUCCAUCUUCCUUCAUUGCUAGGAAUCAUUGGAAGGACAACAGCGGAGCUGUGAGUUUUGAAACCGCGUCCUCAUGGGGGCAGUAGAGGUCCACACAAGAGCUUAACUGGCCCCUGGGAUUUGCUGCUCAGAACCUGAGUUCACUGAGACAUCAGGAGCAAGUACUGGAGGCCGGUGCUGCUGGACCCAGAUGGGAGCCAUGCGGGACUUGACCAUGGCCUGCACACACUUCUUCCCAGGAGAAGGGGAGUGAGGAAGAACCGGCCCCUGGGAUUUGCUGCUCAGGACCCGAGUUCACUGAGACAUCAGGAGCAAGCACUGGAGGCCGGGUGCUGCUGGACCCAGAUGGGAGCCAUGCAGGACUUGACCAUGGCCUGCACACACUUCUCUUCAGCAACCCUUAUUUUUCUUGCCUGUACAUCUCUACUGUGGGAAUCACAGGGAAGCUGCUGCAGCACAACUUGAAAUAGAAAGCUGGAUGGUAUGAAUUUAGGACAAGAACAUGAGAAGAAGGGCUCCAGAGAGGAUUCAUUAAGAGCAUUUUCUGCUCUUCCAGAAGCAUCCGAGUUUGGUGUGGGCACCCAAGUCAUUAGGCUCAGAGCUGCUUGGUCUGGAUCCCCUAGGGUUGCCACCAGGAUCACCAGAAAGUUUGUUAAAUAGAGAAGCACUUGAUAGAAGGCACCUGGAUAAGGAUGGACAGAAAUCAGAGGCCUUGGCUAUCUGGAUUCUGACUUCUUCAAAAAGAUGAGAUGAUAGAUGAGAAAAGCCCGUCCGUGGUGUUAGAGACUUUGGCCCCACACCCAUGCCGUGCAGCUCUGCCAGGGCCUACCUGCUUGACUCAACCCUUUUUGUUCCCUCACCCUCUCUGGGUAACUGAGAGAUUUAUACCUUGGCUAUCCUGGGAAUGUCUUUCUAAACUAAUAAAAU